UGGGGAAUAUUGCACAAUGGGCGCAAGCCUGAUGCAGCGACGCCGCGUGGGGGAUGACGGCCUUCGGGUUGUAAACUCCUUUCGCUAGGGACGAAGCUUUUUGUGACGGUACCUAGAUAAGACGCACCGGCUAACUACGUUCCAGCAGCCGCGGUAAUACGUAGUGUGCGAGCGUUGUCCGGAAUUACUGGGCGUAAAGGGCUCGUAGGUGGUUUGUCGCGUCGUCUGUGAAAUUCCGGGGCUUAACUCCGGGCGUGCAGGCGAUACGGGCAUAACUUGAGUACUGUAGGGGUAACUGGAAUACCUGGUGUAGCGGUGAAAUGCGCAGAUAUCAGGAGGAACACCGAUGGCGAAGGCAGGUUACUGGGCAGUUACUGACGCUGAGGAGCGAAAGCAUAGGUAGCGAACAGG
rnacentral:rRNA from 1 species